rnacentral:rRNA from 1 species
GUCUUUUUGAUUAAUAAUUUAAAGUCUAAUCUGCCCACUGAUAAUAUAUUAAAGGGCUGCAGUAUUUUGACUGUACAAAGGUAGCAUAAUCAUUAGUCUCUUAAUUGGUGACUUGUAUGAGGGAUUUAAUGAAAUAUAUACUGUCUCUUUUUAAUUUAUAAAAUUUAAUUUUUUAGUUAAAAAGCUAAAAUGUAUUUAAAAGACGAGAAGACCCUAUAGAGUUCAAUAUUUAAUUAAAUUAAAAUUUUUUAUAAGAUUUAAAAUUUUAAUUUUAGUAAAUAUUUUGUUGGGGUGACAAAAAAAUUAAAAAAACUUUUUUUAUAAAUUUACAUAAAUAAAUGAGUAAGUGAUCCGUAAUUUACGAUUAAAAGAAAAAAUUACCUUAGGGAUAACAGCGUAAUUUUUUUUUUUAGUUCAAAUAAGAAAAAAAGUUUGCGACCUCGAUGUUGGAUUAAGAUAAAAUUUAAAUGCAAAAGUUUAAAAUUUUUGAUCUGUUCGAUCAUUAAAAUCUUACA